GAGAGAGAGAGAGAGAGAGAGAGAGAGAGAGAGAGAGAGAGAGAGAGAGUUACUGUAGUGUGCCUGUUUAGACUCAGGGCUCUGCAGUCUUUAUUGAAUGUUCAAGACUCCACAUCAGUGGUCCUAUCUACUGUCCACAUCCCACCAACGGCCAUCACAGUGCUGUGAUCACACACACACACACACACACACACACACACACACACACACACACACACACACACACACACACACACACACAGCCCCGUGGAGCCCUGGGAAGCAUCCCAAGUGUCACUGUGGUGGGUGACAUAACCAGAUGGUGAUGUAAUAACAUGGGGGACCACAGUAUCAACAGUAACCCCCCAACACCUUGGUGCUGCUGAAGCAGUGUGUGUUUGUGUUUUACAGUGUGUUGGUAUGCCUUGUGCUGUAUACUAAACUCCGUCAGUGAAGCCCUUUUAUAAGGAUCACACAGCAGGGCCAACAGUAUCCCUCUCUCUCAACCCUGACGGGCUGAAAACUUUUCAUCUACGCUGCUAUGUUUAGCGUGUCCAUGAUGCUAUUUUUAGCGUGUCCUUUGUCAAUGUGGAACACAUUAGAGGAAUGCAUAAGAUGUUGAGAUUCAGGCUCUCUUUGUAUAGAAACGUAAAGUGCUUCAGAGGGCUAGCAUAACAGAACAGGGUAGAACAGGACAGAACAGGACAGGACAGAACAGGUCAGGACAGGACAGGACAGGAAAGAACAGAACAGAACAGGACAGAACAGGACAGAACAGAACAGGUCAGGACUAAACAGGUCAGGACAGGACAGGAAAGAACAGGACAGAACAGAACAGGUCAGGACAGAACAGAAAAGGACAAAACAGCCAGAACAAGUCCGGACAGAACAGAACAGAACAGAACAGGGCAGAACAGGACAGAACAGAACAGAACAGGGCAGAACAGGACAGAACAGAACAGGACAGGUCAGGACAGGACAGAACAGAACAGGACAGGUCAGGACAGGACAGAACAGAAAAGGACAGAACAGCCAGAACAAGACAGGACAGAACAGAAAUGGAUCAAACAGGGCAGAACAGAACAGAACAGGACAAAACAAAACAAAACAGAACUGAACAGGCCAGAACAGGCCAGAACAGAACAGGCCAGAACAGAACAGAACAGAACAGGACAGGACAGAACAGGUCAGGACAGAAUAGAACAAGACAGGUCAGGACAGAACAGGACAGGACAAAACAGGUCAGGACAGGUUAGAACAGGACAGUACAGAACAGGACAGGACAGGACAAAACAGGUCAGGACAGGACAGGACAGGUCAGAACAGGACAGUACAGAACAGGACAGGACAAAACAGGUCAGGACAGGACAGGUCAAAACAGAACAGGAAAGAACAGGACAGGACAGAACAGAACAGGAAAGAACAGGACAGGACAGGACAGGUCAGGACAGAACAGAACAGGACAGAACAGGUAGGAACAGGACAGGUCAGGUCAGGACAGAACAGGGCAGAACAGGAAAGAAAAGGUCAGAACAGGAUAGAACAGGUCAGGACAGGAUAGAACAGGUCAGGACAGGAUAGAACAGGACAGAACAGGACAAGAUAGAACAGGACAGAACAGGAAGGAACAGGUCAGGACAGGACAGAACAGGACAGAACAGGUCAAGAUAGAACAGGACAAGAUAGAACAGGACAGAACAGGACAAGAUAGAACAGGACAGAACAGGAUAGGCUUUACUCAGGGAGACUUCUACAGACUGAGAUGUUUCCGGAAUUGUUUGUCAGUUAAGUGGUUUUAAAUAGUUGGAGGAAAGGAAGCCACGGAAUAAUUUGGUCUUCAACAAAUAGCCCAACGAUAUAGGAAGAGAACUGAACUGAACAGAACAGGACAGAACAGAACAGGACAGAACAGAACAGGUCAGGACAGAACAGCAAAGGAAAGAACAGGAAAGGUCAGAACAGAACAGAACAGGACAGAACAGGACAGGACAGAACAUGACAGGUCAGGACAGGACAGAACAGGUCAGGACAGGACAGAACAGGACAGAACAGGACAGAACAGAACAGGACAGGACAGGACAGAACAGGUCAGGACAGGACAGAACAGGUGAGGCCAGAACAGAACAGAACAGGACAGAACAGGACAGAACAGGUCAGAACACGACAGGCCAGAACAGGUCAGGCCAGACUGGACAGAACAGGACAGGACAGGUCAGGUCAGGAUAGAACAGAACAGGACAGAACAGAACAGAACAGGACAGAACAGGAAAGUACAGGACAGAACAGAACAGAACAGGACAGGAUAGAGCAGAACAGAACAUAAUUGGACAGGACAUGACAAAACAGAACAGAACAGGACAGAGCAGAACAGAACAGGAAAGAAAGGGCAGAACACAACAGGACAGAACAGGACAGGACAGGUCAGGUCAGGACAGGACAAACAGGACAGGACAGAACAGAACAGGACAGAACAGAUCAGGUCAGGACAGAACAGAACAGGACAGAACAGGUCAGGUCAGGACAGAAGAGAACAGGACAGGACAGGACAGAACAGAACAGGACAGAACAGGAAAGAACAGGUCAGAACACAACAGGACAGAACAGGAUAGGUCAGGACAGAACAGAACAGAACAGGACAGGGACAAAACAGAACAGAACAGGAUAGAGCAGAACAGAACAUAAUUGGACAGGACAAAACAGAACAGGACAGAGCAGAACAGAACAGAUUUGGACAGAACAGGGCAGAACAGGACAGAAAAGAACAGAACAGGACCGGCUCGAACAGGACAGAACAGAAGUGUACUGAACGGUCUAAUUAAUAUUCACUUUGACCUGCAGUGACAAGGGUUUUGACCUCUGACCUCCACUAAUAUCUAAUAUGCCCUCCACAUGUCACUUUCAUCCAUUGGAAGCAAUGACUUACAGUGAAUGUAUCCAUUUUUAGUUUGUGUAUGUGAACCCUGUGGGAAUUGAACCCAUGACCUUGGAGUUGCUUGUCCCACACUUUAAUCAGCAGAGCAACUGAGCAUCACAUGAUCCAGUCCCCCAUGCCCCAUCUGAGGGAACCAAACUCUCACUAUCUGUGUGCAGUUAAAGAUGUGUAAUACUUUAGUCCUUUAUGUCCACAGAAAUCAUACGCUGUGUGUAUGUGAAGUGUGUAAUAGAGACUAGAAUGUAUGUGUGUGCGUGUGUGCGUGUGUGUGUGUGUGUGUGUGUGUGUGUGUGUGUGUGUGUGUGUGUGUGUGUGUGCGUGCGUG
rnacentral:lncRNA from 1 species